rnacentral:rRNA from 1 species
GAUGAUCAAAGGCGAUCAGAUACCGCCCUAGUUCUAACCAUAAACGAUGCCAGCCAGCGAUCCGGCUGCGUUCCUCAAAUGACGCGCCGGGCAGCUUCCGGGAAACCAAAGCUUUUGGGUUCCGGGGGAAGUAUGGUUGCAAAGCUGAAACUUAAAGGAAUUGACGGAAGCGCACCACCAGGCAUGGAGCAUGCGGCUUAAUUUGACUCAACGCGGGACAGCUCACCCGGUCCGGACACAGGAAGGAUUGACAGAUUGAGAGCUCUUUCUUGAUUCUGUGGUAGGUGGUGCAUGGCCGUUCUUAGUUGGUGGAGUGAUUUUGUCUGGUUAAUUCCGAUAACGAUCGAGACUCUAGCCUACUAAAUAGACGUUCCGUUCAUUGAGACGGACGCUUUCUUCUUAGAAGGGACACGCGGCGUCUAGCCGCACGAGACAGAGCAAUAACAGGUCUGUAAUGCCCUUANAUGUCCGGGGCCGCACGCGCGCUUCAUUGAAAGGAAUCAGCGUGUGCUUUCCCUGCCCGACAGGGCUGGGUAACCCGUUGAACCUCCUUCGUGCUGGGGAUAGGAGACUGUAAUUGUCUUCCUUGAACGAAGAAUGCCCAGUAAGCGCGAAUCAUAAGCUCGCGUUGAUUACGUCCCUGCCCUUUGUGCACACCGCCCGUCGCUUGUAGCGAUUGAAUGAUUUAGUGAGGUCUUCGGACUGGCGCUCGGAUUGACCUUCGGGUCCAGCCGAAGUGCCGAAAAGAUGACCAAACUUGGUUAUUUAGAGGUAAUAAAAGUCGUUACAAGGUUUCG